AAGAGUAUUAGGAUAAUGUCAUCAUCACAUCUUGCUAUCAUGUGCCUCAUCAUGAUUUCUCUUGUUCCUCUACAUCAAUAAACGCCGAUGGUUUAGACUUCGAUAGAAAAUGCGUCCGUCUCCUUGGAUGUACCGGAAGACGUUGUAUUUGCUGUAACAACGCACCGGAAAUAUUAAAAUGUUAUGAUACGCAAGCAGCAUGUAUGGCUCAUUGCACGAACCCAACUAUUUGAGUGGCUAAAGAAACUUUAAGAAAUUAAAACAUAAUCAUGUGGAAUAUCUCAAUAAAUAUAAUAUAUAAUAUAAAAUAAAUAUGUUAAUAAAAUUUUACUUUGUGUAUCAAAAUAUUAUAUAUAUCUAGCAUCUAAUUUAUAAUAUAAUUAUGAUUAAGAAUAAUACAGAUUUGUGUAGCAGAAAAAAAUAGAAUGAUUUUGGGGUUGUGUUCAAUACUGUUGACAUGCUUCAACAUUCACAUUUUAUCUUUUUAUCCUUGUAGUUUGUAUUCUUGAUCUGCUCUUUUUUUCUCUACUUGUAGUUUGUAUUUGAUAUGUUCUAUUUUUAUAGAUAUUUUAUCUUGCUUUCUUUUGCUAAAUCGAAGAGAAAAUAUCAUACCUUAACAGAUCAAUGGGAUAAUCAUGGUUAUAAGCUUCUCAGUCAAAAAAAAAUAUUUUUUCAGCUUUUUCUUUCUCUCUAAAGCUUCCCCUACUAUAUACUACCAUAUUCCUCAUUACUUCCACACAUACACGUAGAAUACCAAAUGACACAAACCUCUUGUCGUUGAUCGACAGUGACGGGCCAACUUGUUCGUGGCCGACUUAAGCCUAGAAGAUCCACAUAAUUACAAGACUACCCCUGGUCGCCGUUUACCUAGUAUUUAUGUACUCUGCCGUUGUCUUAGGCAACAUACAAUCUUUUAUCAUCUUUUAUUCACAGCAUAUAGUUUUAGGGUUUUCAGUAGAUUUGUAGAGAAGACCAAUAUUCCUUCAAAGUUUGUAUUGGAACUCCAUUGAUUUCUUACUCUGUUCUAUUUAUGAAUUCAAUUCAGACUAUUGCUAUGUUUUGCUUUAUCAUGUAGGAGUCGUUUCUCUUGUUACAUUUAGGAUAAAUUAGUGUUUUGAUGGAUUAGCCAAAACUAUAGAAUUACUAGGGUGAUUACAUAGAUACCAAUCAUUAGAAUUUCUAUUAAUUAAUGCUUAUGUUUUGGAGUAGCUAAUUAGAACCACCUGUGUUGAUUCUCUUGAUUUAGGUUGCUAGAUACAUGCAGAAACUCGUCUAGGAACAUUAGUGAACUUAUCAAAUGAGACUAUUAAACCGAUCUAAGGUACUGUCGACCGAGACUAGAAAAAUAGCAUUGAUCGACACUCAUUACGUGUUCACAAGCGAGAGCUGCAACACUGGACUUAGAUAAUUAAUCAGACUCGCAGCGACAGCGGGAUAUAUUUACAGUAGAGUUCGAGUUCUAGAAAUAUCGCACUCACACCCUUAACUUCUAUAUUUCUCUAAUCCUGAUUGCAUGACCCUAGAUUUUGUUAUUUUCUCAUAUGCUCACAAAACAACCAAACAACCAAUCCUGAUUUCCUUCCACCGUCGACCGAAACUACUUUUCCGUAGACCGCCCAUACCCACCCGAUGUUUAUCACAAGCUUGAGAACUCUUUUUUCUAUUAUGAAUGGGUUUCAAUAAGUAGGAUAUUUUAUCGGCAGAUAUGUCCUUGGGAAGGGCUUCUUAAGUUCUUAGAGUUCACUCAGCUUUGUUGAGUCUGAGGAUUCGAGUUCAUCAUGUUUCCAAGAGAAGAAUAAGUGGCUGGCCAAUCUGAGAAAACGCUUUUCCUUGGCGAAGUUGCUGCAAAGGUUAGUAUUUAUAAUCCUACUAUGCUCUCACAUAUCGCUCUUCUUAUAACUUCUCCAUUAAUGUCUACAACUGAAACUUUUGUGAUUGAAACCCCAUAUUUCAAUGUGCUAAAGUAGAUUGAUUGUGUUCCGUGAUCACAUGACUUCUCAUAAUCGCUGGGAUCGGAUGGUUGUGUUUUCCAGGACAAACCUUGAAUAGAGUGGCAUUAUAUUUUCCAUUCCGGUCUUCAGGCACGAUGAGUUAUACAUGCUUAAUGCUUAAAGUCUUGGACACAUCCAAAAACACACAAGUGAAGACAUAAUAUCAAAAUUUGUCUACAAAUAUUUCUAGGGAAGGUCAGUGGACUAACGGAAGUGCUAUGAUUGAUGGCUUGGUUUGCGCCAAGAAGAAAUUAAAGAAAAAGAUUCAAACGCUCUGACGCUUUGAGGCUCUGUUUUUUUUCAGGGUAAAUAUUUUUCUUCUGCAAACUGACUUCAAACUAAAAGUUACUGACAUACACAGCCAUUGUAAAGUGUUUUUUUUAGAUGAGUAUAAACUAAAACAAUAAGCAAUCAAUAAUACAUUUACUAGAAAACAUCAGCAUAAAACACAGACACCAUAGUGAAAUUUUGAGAAACAGAAUGGAAGACGACCAAAAUGAAAAAACAAUACCAUAACAAAAACCCAAGUUUGCUAGUAAAAAUCUAUACGAUUUAUUCACACUUAUUAUCAGCUAAGCUCAUAUAAAAAAAUUAAAAAAACAAAAUUAGAUCAAUCACAAUACGCACUACACAAAAGACAUAAUUGGCUUACAAGUUUAAUACGAUUCAGAUCUUUUAAGACCUGGUUAAUUGGUUUAACUAUAUAAAUAAAUUAUUUAUUGUAUUUAUAAUUAGUUUUCUUUGAUAUUUUGGACUAUAACCCUCUUUUCACUCAUCAAAUACAUAGUCUAUAGAUGUUGAAAUGAAAGUAUAUGCAAAGAAAGCGAGUAGAUUUGGUAAUAGAUCAUUUUAAUGAGAAAUAAAACUAUGGGAAAGCUAUUGGAGAUCGAUGGCAAACAAUAUAUAAUUGAAGAAUAACAAGCGGAGAAUACACCAACUAUCCUAAAGUAAUCUCUGUAUAAUAUGAUGCUAUGAAGUUUUCUUAUUCUUUAGACUUUGUCAUACUUGCUUCAGAGUGAUAAGGAUAGCAAAAUAAAACUAGAAAGCAGUAUGGAAACACUUUCCAUGCAAGCAUAGCUAAGUCAAGUUCAAGAAGUCAAUAGUGACAACAUAAAAUCUCAACCUAUCUUCGUUUUUUAAAAAUUAUUUUAGAUAUUUUUACGGUUUACCAGUUCACUAUUAUGUUGAACUAUUUUAUUACACGGAGGGCAAAAAUGGUGUAAAGCUUUUUUAAUUAUAACUAGAUUUUGACCCGCGCUUAGAAAGCGCGGGUUUUUUUCCGGCUAAAACCAAAGUUUACGUAGAUUAUUAUUGUGUUUAUAUAGAUUUUUUAAGUUUAAAGUCAUCAUGAUUUAUAUGGAUUUGAUCAAGCGUUUGCGUUUUUGAAAUUUGGUUGAAAUAUUUUUUAAAAUGAUGUUUGUUUGUUUAAUAGUAUAGAAAUUAUGAAAUGUAAUUAUAUCUGUCGCUAUUGGAAAGAUUGUUGCACACACAUAUAUAUAUAUAUAUAUAUAUAUCAUAUUCAAAAUAGAAAACCAAAUAUAUAAAAGGGAUUUAAUCUGUAGUUAUUAUAAAUUUUUUUUUCUAAACAUGGUCAAUAUUUAAAUUAUACUUGAAAAAUUAAAAUCUAAUUUUUUAAUUUAUGAUUUAUUAAAAUGGGUUUUGAAAGAAUGGGUUUUUGAUGACUUUUUUUUUAAAUAUUGGGUUUUAAAAAAAUGAGUUUAAAUGUUAACAAAUUCAAUUCUUAUAUCGAGGCCCAAGCCUAUGCGUGAUCUUGUAAGUUACGACAACAUCUGGACAUAUCGAACAAAGAAAUAAAAACGAAAGUCUUCUCCGAUCGAUGGCGAUUCAGCGACCGCAGGAGGACACCACAGACCCGUUCCUCUCCGAUAUGAACCGGUAACCUUUGCAAAAAAAAAUAUACAGGAACAGUUUGAUUGUUGUUUCCGAACUAAGAACAUAUCUGGACAUAUAUAAGCUGAGGAUAUUGAUGUGUUUGAAGAAGAUCUGAAGCACUAUCCGACAAAACAUGCAACCGGAUUGGUAUUAGAGAUAUUAGUUUUUUUUAAUGUGUUAGUAGAUUUCUAUAUAUUUUUUAUUAUAAGAUUGUUAAAGACCUUUGUUUAAACUCACCUGCUUCUGGUAUUUCAGGAUUGACAAACAUCUGACUUGCAUCAUAAGCAUUUGAGAUUUGAACUUCACUUAAUAAAUAAAAUAUGAAGAGCCUCUUAAGUUGAACAAAAUGCCGUGUUCUAGGUUAAUAUCUAUUAUUGCAAUAUAUAAAUGUGUAGAUCAAAACAUAAGUUGAAUAUUAGAUAUCUCUAUAUUUCCCAAUCUUAGCAAAUCGUAGAAGACAUAUUACCAUGCCUUCUGUUUACUGGCUAGCUGUGUGAAGAUUCUCUGCAAAAUUUCCCCACCGGCAGAACCCCAAUCUUUGCCCACUAAAAAGAUUAAAUAUAUACUUAUCUAUACUCCAAGACAGACAUGUUUGGCAAAUUAAGCAAUGUAUGUCUUAUUACACGAGGCAUGGAUUUUUGUUCCCUUUAAAAAGAUAAAAAGAAUUAUAUCCGUUAGCUUGUAUCUUAACAAAAUCAAUAUAUAGAAAUCACAAAUCGAUAUAGAACGUUAAAUUUACAUUUGCAUCACAUAGGAUUAGUUCCAUAGAUUCUCCAACGUCUUUCAUGAAAUGUCUCCAUGUAUGAAUAAUCUUCACUUGGAUGCGACAUGCAGUCUUGGGUGGUUUGAUAUCGUUCAAGAAAGUUAGCUGCAUAUUGUUCGCCAUUUUUUUUUCUGUAUCCAUAGGUUUGAUGAAUAUUGUGGUAUUCUGAUGCUAUAUUUAUAAUUGGUAGGUGGUACAACGGAUUUAGGUUACGCAAAUGUAGGUCACAAUAUUUUAAAGAUUUGAUAAAUAUGUUACUUUGUGGAAUAAGGAAUAUUAUGCGAGUAUAUUGUAAUUAGAAUAUACUUUUUUUAAUUUGUAAGAGUUAAUGCUAAUCCAAUUAAAGUAGGUUAGCGAAAAUUCUGUAAGUAUAACGAAAAUAUAACUAAUUGUGAUAUUAAAUAAAACUUGUAGACGAAGCAAUAUAAAUAUUUCCGGAUUUUGUUAUUAAAUAUUGUAUCUACAAUAUAUUGUUAACAAAAAUAUUUGCACAAUACAUUUGAAUUGAUUUUUUUAGAUAGUUGGUAACAAUUAAGGCAAUAACAUCGCAGAGUUUAAAAUUUGAAUUUUUGUCAAAUUUUUCGCUAUACCAACGUUAUAAGACUGUUUGAAUCAUACCAAGUAUGCGCUAAAAUGUUUCGCGUUACCUCUCUACGCUAUGUCGGUGUUCCGGUUACCGAAAGACCUGUGUAGGAAGCUCACAAGUGUGAUGUCGGAGUUCUGGUGGAGUAGUGGAGUGCGUAAAAAGAAGAUCGCUUGGGUAUCAUGGCAAAAGCUCUGUUGGAAAAAAGAGGAGGGUGGUUUAGGUUUUCAUGACAUCGAGAAAUUCAACCAAGCGCUGCUCUGUAAACAAGCAUGGAGGAUUUCGUCUCGCCCUGAAUCUCUUGUGGCUCGGGUUCUCAAAAGUAGAUAUUACAUGCGGAGCUCCUUUCUUGAAUGUGACAUGGGUGCUCGCCCAUCCUUUGCUUGGCGUAGUCUCAUGUUUGGAAGAGAGUUGUUAAUAUGAAUGAGAUCGAAAUAUUGAAGAAGCAUUUUUAUUUUUCGUGUACUAUAAGUUAUACCAACUACAGCAUUUUCAUAUAUACAUCUUUUCUUGUUUGGUCCUUGAUGUAGGUGAUGGCAGAGAUACUAACGUCUGGUGUGAGAAGUGGAUCAUUGAUGGUGUGCCUAAAAUUCCAAUGUACAGGCAAGAUAGUGUCAUUGAUCUCACUCUGACGAUAGCUGAUCUCUUGGUAGAAGGGUCGUGUCAAUGGAAUGUCAAUUUGGUGAGGCAGACGUUCACAGAUGAGGACGCCGAGUUAGUUCUCAAACUGAAACCUCACAUGAGUAGGAAGGACUCUUUUAAAUGGGGUUACACUGCCAAUGGUUGCUAUUCUUCUCAGUCGGGUAGGAAACUUUUGGAACUUUUGAAAGAGCAUCAACAACCUCUUCACGUUGGUCUCCCACCUAUUGAAAAUAAUCUGUGGAAAGCUAUCUGGAAAAUCAGAGCACCACCGAAGUUAAAACAUUUUUUGUGGAGAGUAUUGGCAGGAGCUGUGCCAGUGAAAGAACGCCUGAAUUCAAGAGGCUUGCAUUUGGAUUCCAGAUGCUGACUAUGUCAAGCUAGCUCUGAGUCUAUUUGUCAUCUUUUGUUCUCAUGUCCCUUUGCCAAGGAGGUAUGGGAUCGUUCAGGUGUGCAAUUACCACUAAAUGGUUUCUCAAGGUCUUCUGUUUUCCUCAAUGUUUAUCAUCUCAUCUUCGCCAAUGGGAGACGUUCACACUAUACACAGAACAGAGUCUUCCCCUGGGUACUGUGGCAGAUUUGGAAAACUAGAAACGCCCUGAUCUUUGAAAAUGUGCAAGCAAGUUCUUGUACUGCAGCAGCUAAGGCACUGGAAGAGGCUGACGAGUGGUCGUCAACUUCAAGGUUCCUCAAGCUUAGCCAGUGCAGGUGGAGACUUUUAACAGUUCUGUUUCGUGGUCUCCUCCUCCUGCAGGCUUGUUAAAAUGCAAUGUUGGUGUGAGCUGGAAUAGUGCUGAACGUAUAUGUGGAGCUGCUUGGAUAAUUAGGAAUCACGAUGGAAAAGCUCUUUUACACAGUAGAAGAGCCUUUACUGGUGUUAAUUCCAAGCUUGAAGCAGAGUUGCAGGGAUUUUGCUGGGUGAUGGAAAGUCGUAUAUCGACGCACCAUACGAAUAUCAUUGUGGAAUGGCCAGGGAGGCCCUUUUGAACCCAACCAGAUUCCCUUGGUUUGGUUACCUGCUAGAAAAGAUUAUUUAUGCACUUCCGUUCUUGUAUCCGUGCUCUCUAGAACAUGUUGAAGGUGCAAGGAAUAAGGUUGCAGAGGAAAUUGCAGUAAGCGUGACUAGAGACCAUCGGUGCCAAUCAUAUGUAGCUUCUGGUGGUCCUCGUUGGUUAUUGAAUAGAUUGGAGUCGGAAGCACGAAGAGCUAGUACUUGAUGCUAUUAGCUAGUGUUACGGUUGUGUGUUUGGCUUUGGGUUAGGAAAUACAACCAUCAAUUAGCAAACAAACACAAAGUUAAGUAGAAGAGUAUUAGGAUAAUGUCAUCAUCACAUCUUGCUAUCAUGUGCCUCAUCAUGAUUUCUCUUGUUCCUCUACAUCAAUUGGGAAACGCCGAUGGUUUAGACUUCGAUAGAAAAUGCGUCCGUCUCCUUGGAUGUACCGGAAGACGUUGUAUUUGCUGUAACAACGCACCGGAAAUAUUAAAAUGUUAUGAUACGCAAGCAGCAUGUAUGGCUCAUUGCACGAACCCAACUAUUUGAGUGGCUAAAGAAACUUUAAGAAAUUAAAACAUAAUCAUGUGGAAUAUCUCAAUAAAUAUAAUAUAUAAUAUAAAAUAAAUAUGUUAAUAAAA